AGUAGUGUAGUGUAAUGGUUUGAGUGCUGGACUAUGACUCUGGAGACCAGGGUUCAAAUUGCUGUUCAACUA